rnacentral:rRNA from 1 species
GUGGGGAAUAUUGCACAAUGGGGGAAACCCUGAUGCAGCAACGCCGCGUGAGUGAUGACGGUCUUCGGAUUGUAAAGCUCUGUCUUCAGGGACGAUAAUGACGGUACCUGAGGAGGAAGCCACGGCUAACUACGUGCCAGCAGCCGCGGUAAUACGUAGGUGGCAAGCGUUGUCCGGAUUUACUGGGCGUAAAGGGAGCGUAGGCGGACUUUUAAGUGGGAUGUGAAAUACCCGGGCUCAACCUGGGUGCUGCAUUCCAAACUGGAGGUCUAGAGUACAGGAGGGGAAAGCGGAAUUCCUAGUGUAGCGGUGAAAUGCGUAGAGAUUAGGAAGAACACCGGUGGCGAAGGCGGCUUUCUGGACUGUAACUGACGCUGAGGCUCGAAAGCGUGGGUAGCGAACAGGAUUAGAAACCCUAGUAGUCC